rnacentral:rRNA from 1 species
GAUGAACGCUGGCUGUGUGCCUAAUACAUGCAAGUCGAGCGAACGGACGGGAAGCUUGCUUUGCUGAUGUUAGCGGCGGAAGCGUGAGUAACAUGUUCAUAACCUACCGAUAAGACGGGGAUAACUUCGGGAAACCGGAGCUAGUACCGGGUAAUAUUUUGAACCGAAUGGUUCAAACGUGAAAGACGGUCUUGCUGUCACGUGUAGAUUGAUCCGCGCUGCAGUAGCUAGUUGGUAAGGUAGAUGCUUACCAAGGCAACGAUGCAUACCCGACAUGAGAGGGUGCUUGGCCACACUGUAACUGAGACACGCUCCAGACUCCUACGGGAGGCAGCAGUAGGGAAUCUGCCGCAAUGGGCGAAAGACUGACGGAGCAACGCCGCGUGAGUGACGAAGGUCUUCGGAUCGUAAAACUCUGUUAUUAGGGAAGAAAAUAUGUGUACGUAACUGUGCACAUCUUGACGGUACCUAAUCAGAAAGCCACGGCUAACUACGUG